ACGAACGCUGGCGGCAUGCCUAACACAUGCAAGUCGAGCGAGACCUUCGGGUCUAGUGGCGCACGGGUGCGUAACGCGUGGGAACCUGCCCUUAGGUUCGGAAUAACUCCCCGAAAGGGGUGCUAAUACCGGAUAAUGUCUUCGGACCAAAGAUUUAUCGCCUUUGGAUGGGCCCGCGUUGGAUUAGCUAGUUGGUAGGGUAAAAGCCUACCAAGGCGACGAUCCAUAGCUGGUCUGAGAGGAUGAUCAGCCACACUGGGACUGAGACACGGCCCAGACUCCUACGGGAGGAAGCAGUGGGGAAUAUUGGACAAUGGGCGAAAGCCUGAUCCAGCAAUGCCGCGUGAGUGAUGAAGGCCUUAGGGUUGUAAAGCUCUUUUACCCGGGAUGAUAAUGACAGUACCGGGAGAAUAAGCUCCGGCUAACUCCGUG
rnacentral:rRNA from 1 species